CCAGACUCCUACGGGAGGCAGCAGUGAGGAAUAUUGGUCAAUGGCCGGAAGGCUGAACCAGCCAAGCCGCGUGAGGGAGGAAGGCGAAGAGCGUCGCAGACCUCUUUUGCCGGGGGACAAAAGGCCGGACUCGUCCGGUCCUGAGGGUACCCGGAGAAAAAGCAUCGGCUAACUCCGUGCCAGCAGCCGCGGUAAUACGGAGGAUGCGAGCGUUAUCCGGAUUUAUUGGGUUUAAAGGGUGCGUAGGUUGUUUUUUAAGUCAGCGGUGAAAGUUUGGGGCUCAACCAUAAAAUUGCCGUUGAAACUGGAAGACUUGAGUGUUGUUGAGGUAGGCGGAAUGCGUGGUGUAGCGGUGAAAUGCAUAGAUAUCACGCAGAACUCCGAUUGCGAAGGCAGCUUACUAAGCCAUAACUGACACUGAAGCACGAAAGCGUGGGGAUCAAACAGGAUUAGAUACCCGGGUC
rnacentral:rRNA from 1 species